rnacentral:rRNA from 1 species
UGGGGAAUAUUGCACAAUGGGGGAAACCCUGAUGCAGCGACGCCGCGUGAGCGAAGAAGGUUUUCGAAUCGUAAAGCUCUGUCCUAUGGGAAGAUAAUGACGGUACCAUAGGAGGAAGCCCCGGCUAACUACGUGCCAGCAGCCGCGGUAAUACGUAGGGGGCAAGCGUUGUCCGGAAUCACUGGGCGUAAAGGGUUCGCAGGCGGAAAUGCAAGUCAGUUGUGAAAGGCAGAGGCUCAACCUCUGUAAGCAAUUGAAACUGUAUUUCUUGAGAUGUGGAGAGGCAAGUGGAAUUCCUAGUGUAGCGGUGAAAUGCGUAGAUAUUAGGAAGAAUACCGUUGGCGAAGACGACUUGCUGGACACAAACUGACGCUGAGGAACGAAAGCGUGGGUAGCAAACAGG